rnacentral:rRNA from 1 species
UGGGGGAUAUUGCACAAUGGGGGGAACCCUGAUGCAGCGACGCCGCGUGAGUGAAGAAGUAAUUCGUUAUGUAAAGCUCUAUCAGCAGGGAAGAAGAAUGACGGUACCUGACUAAGAAGCCCCGGCUAACUACGUGCCAGCAGCCGCGGUAAUACGUAGGGGGCAAGCGGUAUCCGGAUUUACUGGGUGUAAAGGGAGCGUAGACGGCGAUGCAAGCCAGAUGUGAAAGCCCGCGGCUCAACUGCGGGACUGCAUUUGGAACUGUAUGGCUAGAGUGCAGGAGAGGCAGGCGGAAUUCCUAGUGUAGCGGUGAAAUGCGUAGAUAUUAGGAGGAACACCAGUGGCGAAGGCGGCCUGCUGGACUGUAACUGACGUUGAGGCUCGAAAGCGUGGGGAGCAAACAGG